AUUGAACGCUGGCGGCAUGCCUUACACAUGCAAGUCGAACGGCAGCACGGGAGCUUGCUCCUGGUGGCGAGUGGCGAACGGGUGAGUAAUACAUCGGAACGUACCCUGAAGUGGGGGAUAACGUAGCGAAAGUUACGCUAAUACCGCAUAUUCUGUGAGCAGGAAAGAGGGGGAUCGCAAGACCUCUUGCUUUAGGAGCGGCCGAUGUCGGAUUAGCUAGUUGGUGAGAUAAAGGCUCACCAAGGCGACGAUCCGUAGCGGGUCUGAGAGGAUGAUCCGCCACACUGGGACUGAGACACGGCCCAGACUCCUACGGGAGGCAGCAGUGGGGAAUUUUGGACAAUGGGCGCAAGCCUGAUCCAGCCAUGCCGCGUGAGUGAAGAAGGCCU
rnacentral:rRNA from 1 species